GAUGGCUGCAGUGCUGCACGUGUGGUGUCGGUGGCCGGUGUCAAUCCUGGUCGCGUGUCUUUACUCUUUAGGCCCACAGAAUCGCGUAAUAGGCUACUUACACUCCAUACUGUUUACCAGAUUCCUUGGUGCAGAUUUGAGGGCCUGAUCCAGCCAUCGUAGCAACAAGAUACACUACUUUUGCUUGUGCUAGUAUUGACCUGUCAUCAGCAACAAUCUUAAAUAAACAGCAUCCCGUUUUGAUGGG